AUUGAACGCUGGCGGCAGGCCUAACACAUGCAAGUCGAACGGUAACAGGAAGAAGCUUGCUUCUUUGCUGUCGCGUGGCGGACGGGUGAGACAUGUCUGGGACACUGCCUGAUGGCGGGGGAUAACUCCUGGAAACGGUAGCUAAUACCGCAUAACGUCGCAACCCCAAAAAGGAGGACCUUCGGGCCUCUUGGCUUCGGCUGUGCCCAGAUGGGAUUAGCUAGUAGGUAGGGUAACGGCUCACCUAGGCCACGAUCCCUAGCUGGUCUGAGAGGAUGACCAGCCGCACUGGAACUGAGACACGGUCCAGACUCCUACGGGAGGCAGCAGUGGGGAAUAUUGCGCAAUGGGCGAAAGCCUGAUGCAGCAAUGCCGCGUGUAUGAAGAAGGCCUUCGGAUUGUAAAGUACUUUCAGCGGGGAAGAAGGAAGUAAAGUUAAUACCUUUGCUCAUUGACGGUACCCGCAGAAGAAGCACCGGCUAACUACGUG
rnacentral:rRNA from 1 species